rnacentral:tRNA from 1 species
GGCUGCAUAGUGUAGUGGUGGUUAGCACAUCUGCUUUGCAUGCAGAAGGUCCUGGGUUCAUGCCCCAGGUGGAGCCA